AGAUUGGACGCUGGCGGCAUGCCUUACACAUGCAAGUCGAACGGUAGAGUAGCAAUACUCGAGAGUGGCGAACGGGUGAGUAAUAUAUCGGAACGUGCCCAGUCGUGGGGGAUAACGUAGAGAAAUUUACGCUAAUACCGCAUACGAUCUACGGAUGAAAGCGGGGGAUUCGCAAGAACCUCGCGCGAUUGGAGCGGCUGAUAUCAGAUUAGGUUGUUGGUGAGGUAAAAGCUCACCAAGCCGACGAUCUGUAGCUGGUUUGAGAGAACGACCAGCCACACUGGGACUGAGACACGGCCCAGACUCCUACGGGAGGCAGCAGUGGGAAUUUUGGACAAUGGGCGAAAGCCUGAUCCAGCAAUGCCGCGUGCAGGAAGAAGGCCUUCGGUGUAAACUGCUUUUGUACGGAACGAACGGUCCUUUACUAAUAAGAGGCUAAUGACGGUACCGUAAGAAUAAGACACCGGACUAACUACGUGACCAGCAGCCGACGGUAAUCUA
rnacentral:rRNA from 1 species